ensembl:lncRNA
GGAAACAGGAAAGAGGUAGUGAGAAGGAGCCGGGCAGCUCAGGCACGGGUUGUGGCAGCAGGCACUAUGGGCUCCCUCCUCUUCUUCUUACAUUGUGUGGUAGGGGUCACCACCAGCAGCAUCAUGGGUCCAGAUGUCAACCACACAGAUCACUUAGUGAACAUCAAUAGCACAGAAAUCACAAGAGUGACCCCAGGAGGAAUGACAACUUCAGAGAGAAUCUUUGAGACUACUCAACUCUCUGAGACUUCAACUGUCACCCACACUCCCUUGAAAUCCAAAACAUCUUUGGCUUUUGAGACCUUGGCACAAGCCAGAACUACCUAUGAAGCUGAGAAGAGGAUUACAGAGUCCUUUCCCCCUAUGGAGACACUGAUAAUAAUGGAUGCCCUGGAUGAAACAGAGACCACAACCCUACUGGAGAGCACUAACCCCACUGGUCCCUCUGUAACAGUUGUCUCAGAAUCAGGGAUAGCCUUAGGCAAAACCCACAGCCAAGCUAAAACCUUGAUGGUGGCUUCUUCUACCAUGGAAGCAGAGAUGGCCACAGAGGAAACUCUUGUCCUAGAGGAAGCUUGGCUUGGAAUAAACAUCCUCCACAAAGCAGGCUGGAAACAAUUAAACAAGCCAGUGCUGUUAUCUCUUCCACCCUCCCAACAUCAUGGAAAACAUGCACACCACCUCACAGACCGCCAUGACUACUUAUACUGGACUUUCCCAGAAAACUAUAAAACUACUGUUAAGACUCCUAGUUUCACUGAAGGCAUGAGCACAGUGGAUAUUUCCAAAGAAUCAGAGACCUCAAACCCUUUUAGAACCAUUGUCUCUGAGGAGACCUCUGGGAUAAUUGUACCCCCAGAAACAAACACUGCCAUCACGGAAGAAAUAAUACCCUGUACAAUCCUGGAUCUGGUCACUGAGACAGCAGACACCAUAGAAAGAGAAGGAACUCUUAUGGAGACCACGACUCUCCCUGUAGCCUUGGUUACAGUCAGUCCCAUCACAGAAGCCACCAUACUGACAACCAACCUCAUCGAUACCUUCUCUACAGCUGGAAGUACCCAAGAAAUAAAGACAGCUACUGCUAUUACCUCAACCACGGUCUCUACCAACACAGAAGCAAAGACUUCAGCCCUUCUAACAGGCACGUCUGCUGAGGUCUUAGAUGGCAACAACUCACAGCCAAAGAGCAGAGGUGAGGAGACAACCUCAACUGGUGACUUCCCAGAAACAAUCAGGACUGGAGCUAAGAACACUUUUCCCCCUGAGACCUCAAUGACAAUUGACAGCUCUACAGAAGAAGGGAUGUUGUCCCUCUUAAAGACUAUUUUCUUUUCUGAGCCUUCAACUUCAUCUUCCUCAGUUGAAGAAGAGUCAAGUGCAGCUGUUGAGACCUUGACAACAGCCAACAUGAUCACCAUGGCAGUACCAACUGCAGUUGAGACCCCUGAUACCACAAUUCACACUGUAGAAAGUACAACCAAAACAGUAAAUGACUCAUUGAAUACAAUCUAUAUUCCUAUGACAGAAGAAACCAUGGCUCCAUUUGAGACAACUGUCUUCACUGAGGUCCCAAGUACAGUUACCAUCUCCCCAGGGGAAGGAUCAAAAGUAGCCAAGCUUACUACCUCUGCUAAGUUUUCCUAUAAAGUCGAUAUGACCACAGAAGGGACAACAGCUUCAGGAAUAAAUUCCUCCAUAGACAAGACUUUAACCUCCAUUGAGACCCCAGAAAUGAUCUCAACAACAGGAAAGCAAAUGACUACAAUGCAUGCUACUACUGCUCUGAUGGGUCAAAACACCAAAGCUGAUUCCAGUCAGGAUGGAGGCUUUCUCCUAUUACGGCUUAUUGUGUCUUCUUCCCUGGACCUCACUGACUUCAAGGUGGCAAAAGGACUCCUGAGCCAGCUUCAUCAAGAUCUGCAGGUCCAGGUCCCCUACACCCAGAUCUCCUUGCUGAAGGUCACCAGGGUCUGAGGAGUUGUUAGCAGCAGCCUGGAGAAGUCUCCAAUGCUUGGGAGAUGACUUCAGUCAAAGGAAGACAAUGCUACUAAUAAAGUAAUGUAAUGGUGGGCUACA